ACACAUUCCAGCCAAUCAGCAGCAGACCCUCCCUCCCAGACCCUCCCACCUCCUGGACAGCAUCCAUUUUACAUCCAUUGUGAAGCUGCAUUCUUAGUGAGCUGUCCAGGAGGUGGGAGGGUCUGGGAGGGAGGGUCUGCUGCUGAUUGGCUGGAAUGUGUCU
rnacentral:miRNA from 1 species